UACUUUUAUACAAACUGACAUUGGUCUACUAUACAUUUUUAAAAGCCAUUUUACUGGUUUGGCAUGCGGUAUGGAAAUUCUAAGAGAGAAAGUUUUAAGGCAAUGAAUCACAGAUUUAAGUUCAUGGAAUUUAUGGUAACUUUUAUAUCUGUUUAUAUACAUUUCCCCCUUUGUUAAUUGAACAAUUAACAGCAGCGCACUCUGGGACCCCCAGCUAUUCUCCCUCCCUCUUUCUGAAAUCUAAGCUUUGUGGUUUUUUAAAUUAAAAAACAGAAUUCGACAGGUAUUGAUAAAACAAAAUUCUCACUAAAAUAAUUUCAAAUGUGCUUUAAAGUCCUGAAGAUCUUGAAGUGUUUUAUGUAUUUAAAACUGGAAUUGUUUAAAAACAAUGCUCUUUCCACAAUUAAUCAUUUAAAAUUGGGACAUAUUUUCAUUCAAUUUCAGAUAUUUGACUCAAAGGAAUCUGCCAAGAAAUCACAUUUUUCAGAAGCUUAAGUGAAUCUUUCCUAAGUCAGUAAUAAUUAAGAAUUGUGAUAAUGUCUAAACUAACAGAAGUAGAAAAAUUUUAAUGCUCAAAACAAAUUAGUCAACCAAGUGUGGCAUGGUUAAGGUUCAGAUCGUUUUAAAAAGAUGUGUCCAAUAAUGCCCACAAAAUAAUUGAAAGCCACUUCAACCCUGCUACUCAAACAGCUGUUUUAUCAAGGAUGUGCGUGUGCGUAGCACAUGCACACACGCACACGCACAUACAGUACAGAAACACAGACAGAUGCACGUCUGCUAUGAAAGACCAAGGCAAGGGGGAUGGUGGCAAGCUGCCUAAAGAUUCUGACAAUCGCUAUUUGUCCACAGACAGCAUGUCAAUGUUGGCAUGGGUGGGAGAGUGAGGGUGGGCAAAGGAAAAAAAGAGAUGAAAUGACUAUGCUUUUUUUCUUUUUAAACUUAGAAGAUAAAGAUGCAGUGCAUGACUCUAUUAAUAAUUACUAUAGAUCAUGAAAGUCUGAUUGACUAAUAUUGGCCAUGAGACCAACAGAGUGAUAGCAACUACUAAUGCAACAUUGUGGAACAUCAACAACUGAAGGAAACAAACUCCUUAGAGUGGAAUGAACUAAAAUAAAAAGACAACUGAAUGGUUAGCUUCUCUUGUGGAGACAUGACCAAAGCCACUAGACAGACAUUUCUUUCUCCCUAUUACCUGUUCUUCCCUUAGGUUGGUAUAAUGCCGGACACUGAGGGAAACUAACCCUCUCCAUUACUGGGCUGAAGAAAGUGGAGGGAUGGGUUUUCAACUGGAUCAUUCAAAGAGUUUGUAAUUCAGCAUCAUACACAAAGUUAUUGAUCAGAAUUUUGAGACCACUAACGACAGAAAAAAAAAGAAACAAUUCAUUUUCCCUUAGGUAUCUGAAUUAAUAGAAAUAUCUCCUAUUACAAUGUGAAAUAAGAGGCAACUCCCCACAAUUUAAGUAAUUUCUAUUCCAAUCUGAAUUUAGACACAAAUUGUACUAUUAGAUAUUAGCCUAAGUUAAUAUGGCAAUGAGAGUUAAAGUGUUUACUCACCACAAUACCAGAUUCAUUUAAAAACUCAACUAUUUCCUGUUUUAACUGACAAGGAAUUUUUUUUAUUGCCAAUUGUUUAGUGACUGUAACUCAGCCAUGUAUGUGUGGAAUACAUGCGUAGGGGAGGACUACAGAACUCACCUGUCACUCACACACACUUGUCUAUAAAUACAUAUAUACAACACACACAUAUACAUAUCAACACCAACUUGUUUUUCAAAAUUCAAGUCAACAAUUUAGUGGCAGAGAGAUGCUGUAAAAACAGGUAUUAUUUUUAGAUGCCACGCCGUCAUGAGAACCAUUAACUUUAUCAUACAACUGCAGACACAGCCAUCUUGAAUUCUACCUGGAUUAAAGUAGGUCAUUUUGUUACCACCGCAAGGUUUAACAUGACCAUUUGAUACACAAAGGUGGUCCUUCAUCAACUCUGAGAACUCUGAGAACCUUACGUUGUAACAUAAAAAUCCAGUCUGGAAAACUGGUGAUUGUUAUGCCCCUUCUUUAUGUUUUCUGUUAAACCUGCUAAACCUCUGAAUCAGCUAAGAAAUAUUUCCACAGCGUCAGGUAUUACCUGAGGAACAUAAUACCUUCUCUGAUGAGGAUUUUGGAACAUAAGUAGAGCCACUUUUCCUUCCCUCCACACCUCACUCAUCUCCUGAAAAACAGUUUUCAGUAUAUUUACAUGUUCCAUUAUUAAUAAGAAUAGAUCAGACUACUCCAUGAAUUCUAAAAAAAAAAAAAAAAAAAAAAAAAAGAUUUUCCUAUGUCAUGCUUGUCUUUAAAAGGUAAAGAAAAAAUAAACAAGAUAGCCAGGCU
ensembl:lncRNA